rnacentral:rRNA from 1 species
AGAACGAACGCUGGCGGCAUGCCUAAUACAUGCAAGUCGAACGAACUCUUCGGAGUUAGUGGCGCACGGGUGCGUAACGCGUGGGAAUCUGCCCUUGGGUUCGGAAUAACAGUUGGAAACGACUGCUAAUACCGGAUGAUGACGAAAGUCCAAAGAUUUAUCGCCCAGGGAUGAGCCCGCGUAGGAUUAGCUAGUUGGUGAGGUAAAGGCUCACCAAGGCGACGAUCCUUAGCUGGUCUGAGAGGAUGAUCAGCCACACUGGGACUGAGACACGGCCCAGACU